UUAAAGAGCACCUAUUAUGGGAUACACGUUUUUAAACAUCAUUUUGUGUGUAAGUGUGUAUUAGUACAUGCUAACGAUAUUCAAAAAGUACAUACCUCAAAGAAAACGAUGACGCGAGUUAUCGUCUCUAACGUUCGAGGACUACAAAAAACACUCGGAUUGUAGGCAACAGUUUACUUCCUGGGAUUAGUGACGUAGAUAAGACCAACAUUAUCAUAGUUCAGCCCUCUCUGCUUUGCUUGGGUACGCCCUCAAAGACGAGGGUGGGGUGGGGAGCGCCGAGUCAGAAGAGAGCUAAAAUGGCGGAGGUUGUGAGUCCCUGCUUUGACUCUGUUUGCAAACUCUUGUUUCAUCGUUUAAGCGAUUAAAUCUCUCGAGUAGACGCUGUCUCUUUAGAUGCAAGGGCAAAAUAGCACUUUAUGGACUUCCACAGAGGACAUCAUGUUUAAUACGGUUCCGGAAAAAUCCAGUCAGAAGUUGUUCACGGAGUUUUCACAAUAACUGCUUCUCAUGAACCGAAGCUGGACGUCUCCUCCUGAAAGUUGGAUUAACGUUACUGUGCACUUCUGGAUCACAGGCUAUUCGCAGCUGGACACAUCCUUCUACACUGUAUGCAAACAUGCAACAUCAUAACACACAGUACAAGGAGUCAGACUGGCAUAUGAGGAGCAAAGGAACCCAGACAGUAGCAUCGUUUCACAAUGUUUCCAUCACCAUCAUCAGUGGAUGCCUUUGCCGUCCAUAGCCUGAGAUUUCAGAUUUGCAGCAAAAAAAAUUGAUUUUCUCAUUUAUUGGAAUGCUAUGCAGGUUGUACCUUGCAGCCAUCCAUUACAAUGUCACCAAGCCGUAACAAAAGCAGGAGAGGAAAAGUACAAGGCUAUGUUCCCAAAACACACAAAUGACAUACCUUAUGUGGAUGAUGUGAUCAGGCUUCUGUUUGCUGAGGUAUUUGAAGAUAAGCUGAAGGAAACCCCGAUUCCAAUGGACCUGGCAUCACAGUUUGAGAGACCUUCAAAGGAGGACGUGAUUGCAUGCCAUCUUGAGUGCAGGGUUCGUCGGAAGCCAACAUUCCGAUCAGGAAGCUCCAAGCGUAUCUGGAGAACAACACACGACAGGGUGAUAACCCUAAAGUGUCAUCUUAGAUAGCAUCAGCUGACAAAGCUUUGAUAUGCCAUUUAUCUGAAUAGAUAGCUGUAAGAAGUGAAUUGAACAAUUUUUGAAAGAAGAGCACAAUAUGGUUACUAAAGUAUGUUUAUUUGUAUAUUGUUUAACAUUUAAAUAUAUAUUUGUAAUAAAUAAACUUUUGACUGACUACUA